ACUGAAUCCAUAGGUUAAUGAGGCGAACCGGGGGAACUGAAACAUCUAAGUACCCCGAGGAAAAGAAAUCAACCGAGAUUCCCCCAGUAGCGGCGAGCGAACGGGGAGCAGCCCAGAGCCUGAAUCAGUGUGUGUGUUAGUGGAAGCGUCUGGAAAGGCGCGCGAUACAGGGUGACAGCCCCGUACACAAAAAUGCACAUGCUGUGAGCUCGAUGAGUAGGGCGGGACACGUGGUAUCCUGUCUGAAUAUGGGGGGACCAUCCUCCAAGGCUAAAUACUCCUGACUGACCGAUAGUGAACCAGUACCGUGAGGGAAAGGCGAAAAGAACCCCGGCGAGGGGAGUGAAAAAGAACCUGAAACCGUGUACGUACAAGCAGUGGGAGCACGCUUCGGCGUGUGACUGCGUACCUUUUGUAUAAUGGGUCAGCGACUUAUAUUCUGUAGCAAGGUUAACCGAAUAGGGGAGCCGAAGGGAAACCGAGUCUUAACUGGGCGUUAAGUUGCAGGGUAUAGACCCGAAACCCGGUGAUCUAGCCAUGGGCAGGUUGAAGGUUGGGUAACACUAACUGGAGGACCGAACCGACUAAUGUUGAAAAAUUAGCGGAUGACUUGUGGCUGGGGGUGAAAGGCCAAUCAAACCGGGAGAUAGCUGGUUCUCCCCGAAAGCUAUUUAGGUAGCGCCUCGUGAAUUCAUCUCCGGGGGUAGAGCACUGUUUCGGCAAGGGGGUCAUCCCGACUUACCAACCCGAUGCAAACUGCGAAUACCGGAGAAUGUUAUCACGGGAGACACACGGCGGGUGCUAACGUCCGUCGUGAAGAGGGAAACAACCCAGACCGCCAGCUAAGGUCCCAAAGUCAUGGUUAAGUGGGAAACGAUGUGGGAAGGCCCAGACAGCCAGGAUGUUGGCUUAGAAGCAGCCAUCAUUUAAAGAAAGCGUAAUAGCUCACUGGUCGAGUCGGCCUGCGCGGAAGAUGUAACGGGGCUAAACCAUGCACCGAAGCUGCGGCAGCGACACUAUGUGUUGUUGGGUAGGGGAGCGUUCUGUAAGCCUGUGAAGGUGGCCUGUGAGGGUUGCUGGAGGUAUCAGAAGUGCGAAUGCUGACAUAAGUAACGAUAAAGCGGGUGAAAAGCCCGCUCGCCGGAAGACCAAGGGUUCCUGUCCAACGUUAAUCGGGGCAGGGUGAGUCGACCCCUAAGGCGAGGCCGAAAGGCGUAGUCGAUGGGAAACAGGUUAAUAUUCCUGUACUUGGUGUUACUGCGAAGGGGGGACGGAGAAGGCUAUGUUGGCCGGGCGACGGUUGUCCCGGUUUAAGCGUGUAGGCUGGUUUUCCAGGCAAAUCCGGAAAAUCAAGGCUGAGGCGUGAUGACGAGGCACUACGGUGCUGAAGCAACAAAUGCCCUGCUUCCAGGAAAAGCCUCUAAGCAUCAGGUAACAUCAAAUCGUACCCCAAACCGACACAGGUGGUCAGGUAGAGAAUACCAAGGCGCUUGAGAGAACUCGGGUGAAGGAACUAGGCAAAAUGGUGCCGUAACUUCGGGAGAAGG
rnacentral:rRNA from 1 species